CGCAGUGAUGAAGCUAACGCAUUAAACAUUCCGCCUGGGGAGUACGGUCGCAAGAUUAAAACUCAAAGGAAUAGACGGGGACCCGCACAAGUGGUGGAGCAUGUGGUUUAAUUCGAAGAUACGCGAAGAACCUUACCCGGCCUUGACAUCCCGAGAACCUCCCAGAGAUGGGAGGGUGCUACUUCGGUAGAACUCGGUGACAGGUGCUGCACGGCUGUCGUCAGCUCGUGUCGUGAGAUGUUGGGUUAAGUCCCGCAACGAGCGCAACCCUCGUGUUUAGUUGCUAACAGUUAGGCUGAGCACUCUGGACAGACUGCCACCGUAAGGUGGAGGAAGGUGAGGACGACGUCAAGUCAUCAUGGUCCUUACGGCCAGGGCGACACACGUGCUACAAUGGGAAGGACAAUGAGAUGCGAUACCGCGAGGUGGAGCAAAUCUAUAAACCUUCUCUCAGUUCGGAUUGUAGUCUGCAACUCGACUACAUGAAGCUGGAAUCACUAGUAAUCGUGGAUCAGCCAUGCCACGGUGAAUACGUUCCCGGGUCUUGUACUCACCGCCCGUCACACCAUGGGAGUUGAGUUCACCCGAAGACGGGAAGCUAAACUGGCUACCGUCCACGGUGGGCUCAGCGACUGGGGUGAAGUCGUAACAAGGUA
rnacentral:rRNA from 1 species